rnacentral:rRNA from 1 species
AUACGUAGGGGGCGAGCGUUGUCCGGAUUUAUUGGGCGUAAAGGGUGCGUAGGCGGCCUUGUAAGUCAGAUGUGAAAUCUCACGGCUUAACCGUGGCAAGCAUUUGAAACUGUGAGGCUUGAGUACAGGAGAGGAGAGUGGAAUUCCUAGUGUAGCGGUGAAAUGCGUAGAUAUUAGGAGGAAUACCAGUGGCGAAGGCGACUCUCUGGACUGUAACUGACGCUGAGGCACGAAAGCGUGGGGAGCAAACAGGAUUAGAUACCCUGGUAGUCCACGCCGUAAACGAUGAGUGCUAGGUGUCGGGGGUCAAACCUCGGUGCCGCAGUUAACACAUUAAGCACUCCGCCUGGGGAGUACGGUGGCAACACUGAAACUCAAAUGAAUUGACGG